CAAACUCCCAAGGAAAGAGGUAAACGAUCUCCACUAGGAGUGUACUAAAUGUGCACUCUUAAUUCAUUAUCUAUUCUAAAAACGUUUUUCAGCAUUAUUUUACAAUUCAAAAACAGAAAAAAAAUAAGCUUACUGAUUCUAAAGAUUUCUAGGCGGCAUUCAACAAAAAAAAUGAAAAGAAAAUUGUACGCCUAUGUUCUUUAAGAAAUCACGUAAAGAACUUCACCUGGGAACAAGAGUCAAAGCUCGGAAGAAAGGUUUGUGUGCGGGUGGAAACGUGUGGUUCUGGCUGGCUGUAAAGGCUGAAAAGGUGCAGGCACAGGUGGAUGUUAGAGCUUACAGUACGACGUUGUAGCUAUCUGGACUUGGAGCAUUCAUCCAAUUUUGUAGGCCCUCAUGCUUCAAGGAUGCUUGUCCAUUAUAUUCUAGUUUAGAUAUAGGUUUGAGUUAGUGGAGUAUGUUACACUAGCAUUUCUUUCUCAAGUAUUUUCAGACAUUGUAUUUGUGCCAUUCUGGCAACUUUAUAUUUUAUACAGAUAUGACUUUUUCAUUCAGUUUAGUAUAUUUGUAUUAGAUGGUUGUUGUGAAAGAUUAUGAACUGAUAUAGAUAAAUCUUAUAUGAGUAUAA